UAUAUAUGCUCAAUAUCCACUUUUUAUCUAUGACUCAUUUUUUGCCUCCAGAACAGUCUACAUUCUUUGAGACAUUGUGGUGGUGUGGGGUCGGCUGCAUGCUACCAGUUGCAUCCCAGGAGCCUCUUGAACCCGGUACAGCUAAUAACGUACCAGAGGGAUGAGCCGGAAAAUGAGGACUCUCACUCAAAGCAAGUGGAUUGCACCCAGCAAACUCUUUUCUGCUUGGCUGUGCGAUUGAACCUUGUAAAGGAUCUGCUAUGUGUGCUUCUUGCCUUAAACUCCGUACUGCUGAAAUAAUAACACAGUGCAGAGAACACGUCUAGUAAGGGCAAUUGAUCUGGAGACGCUCCACCGCGUCCAGCUGAGAUGGUAUAAAGCCAGACACCCCCAAAAGGAGACGUUGCAUUUUGGACUUGAGCCAUUCCAUUAUGGAACUCUUCCAAAGUCUGACUUUGUUUAACAGCUCCAUGCCCAGUGAUUCAGAUUCAACAGCAUUCGACUGGUCUUGGAUCUUAUGUGCCAUCAUAUACUUCUUUAUUUUGAUGUUUUUGUUUCAGUAUUAAAGAAGUGGUCUGCCUGGCAGCCUGUUUUUGG